CCUACGGGAGACAGCAGUGAGGAAUAUUUGUCAAUGGACGAGAGUCUGAACCAGCCAAGUCGCGUGAAGGAUGACUGCCCUAUGGGUUGUAAACUUCUUUUAUAAAGGAAUAAAACGAGGCACGUGUGCCUUUUUGCAUGUACUUUAUGAAUAAGGAUCGGCUAACUCCGUGCCAGCAGCCGCGGUAAUACGGAGGAUCCGAGCGUUAUCCGGAUUUAUUGGGGUUAAAGGGAGCGUAGAUGGGUUGUUAAGUCAGUUGUGAAAGUUUGCGGCUCAACCGUAAGAUGGCAAUUGAUACUGGCAGACUUGAGUACAGGUGAGGUAGGCGGAAUUCGUGGUGUAGCGGUGAAAUGCGUAGAUAUCACGAAGAACCCCGAUUGCGAAGGCAGGUUACUAAACUGUGACUGACAUUGAGGCUCGAAAGUGUGGGGAUCGAAAAGGAUUAGAUACCCGAGUAGUC
rnacentral:rRNA from 1 species